rnacentral:rRNA from 1 species
AUACGGAGGGUGCAAGCGUUACUCGGAAUCACUGGGCGUAAAGCGCGCGCAGGCGGUCUUUUAAGUUGGAUGUGAAAGCCUACAGCUCAACUGUAGAACUGCAUCCAAAACUAUUAGACUAGAGUCUGGGAGGGGAAGAUGGAAUUAGUUGUGUAGGGGUAAAAUCCGUAGAGAUAACUAGGAAUACCAAAAGCGAAGGCGAUCUUCUGGAACAGUACUGACGCUGAGGCGCGAAAGCGUGGGGAGCAAACAGGAUUAGAACCCCCAGUAGUCC